GACGAACGCUGGCGGCGUGCUUAACACAUGCAAGUCGAACGGAAAGGCCCUGCUUGCAGGGUACUCGAGUGGCGAACGGGUGAGUAACACGUGGGUGAUCUGCCCUGUACUUCGGGAUAAGCCUGGGAAACUGGGUCUAAUACCGGAUAGGAGCCAUUUUUAGUGUGUUGGUUGGAAAGUUUUUUCGGUGUAGGAUGAGCUCGCGGCCUAUCAGCUUGUUGGUGGGGUAAUGGCCUACCAAGGCGGCGACGGGUAGCCGGCCUGUGAGGGUGGAAGGCCACAUUGGGACUGAGAUACGGCCCAGGCUCCUACGGGAGGCAGCAGUGGGGAAUAUUGCACAAUGGGCGCAGGCCUGAUGCAGCAGCGCCGCGUGGUGGAUGACGGCCUUCGUGUUGUAGACUCCUUUCGCUAGGAACGAAGCUUGUUGUGACGGUACCUAGAUAAGAAGCACCGGCUAACUACGUG
rnacentral:rRNA from 1 species